rnacentral:rRNA from 1 species
UGGGGAAUUUUGGACAAUGGGCGAAAGCCUGAUCCAGCAAUGCCGCGUGUGUGAAGAAGGCCUUCGGGUUGUAAAGCACUUUUGUCCGGAAAGAAAUCCUUGGCUCUAAUACAGUCGGGGGAUGACGGUACCGGAAGAAUAAGCACCGGCUAACUACGUGCCAGCAGCCGCGGUAAUACGUAGGGUGCAAGCGUUAAUCGGAAUUACUGGGCGUAAAGCGUGCGCAGGCGGUUUGCUAAGACCGAUGUGAAAUCCCCGGGCUCAACCUGGGAACUGCAUUGGUGACUGGCAGGCUAGAGUAUGGCAGGAGGGGGGUAGAAUUCCACGUGUAGCAGUGAAAUGCGUAGAGAUGUGGAGGAAUACCGAUGGCGAAGGCAGCCCCCUGGGCCAAUACUGACGCUCAUGCACGAAAGCGUGGGGAGCAAACAGGAUUAGAUACCCUGGUAGUCCACGCCCUAAACGAUGUCAACUAGUUGUUGGGGAUUCAUUUCCUUAGUAACGUAGCUAACGCGUGAAGUUGACCGCCUGGGGAGUACGGUCGCAAGAUUAAAACUUAAAGGAAUUGACGGGGUCAUAGCUGUUUCCU